rnacentral:rRNA from 1 species
AACGAACGCUGGCGGCAUGCCUAACACAUGCAAGUCGAACGAGAUCUUCGGAUCUAGUGGCGCACGGGUGCGUAACGCGUGGGAAUCUGCCCUGGGGUGCGGAAUAACUCAGAGAAAUUUGAGCUAAUACCGCAUAAUGUCUUCGGACCAAAGAUUUAUUGCCCUGGGAUGAGCCCGCGUAGGAUUAGCUAGUUGGUGGGGUAAAAGCCUACCAAGGCGACGAUCCUUAGCUGGUCUGAGAGGAUGAUCAGCCACACUGGGACUGAGACACGGCCCAGACUCCUACGGGAGGCAGCAGUGGGGAAUAUUGGACAAUGGGCGAAAGCCUGAUCCAGCAAUGCCGCGUGAGUGAUGAAGGCCUUAGGGUUGUAAAGCUCUUUUACCUGGGAUGAUAAUGACAGUACCGGGAGGAAUAAGACUCCGGCUAACUCCGUG